GUUGUCACAUAGCUCAGUUGGUAGAGCAUGAGACUCUCAGUCUCAUAGUUGUGGGUUCGAUCCCCACAUUGGACAACA